UACGAAGUGGGCUAGCGUUGCUCGGAAUCACUGGGCGUAAAGGGUGCGUAGGCGGGUCUUUAAGUCAGGGGUGAAAUCCUGGAGCUCAACUCCAGAACUGCCUUUGAUACUGAGGAUCUUGAGUUCGGGAGAGGUGAGUGGAACUGCGAGUGUAGAGGUGAAAUUCGUAGAUAUUCGCAAGAACACCAGUGGCGAAGGCGGCUCACUGGCCCGGUACUGACGCUGAGGUGCGAAAGCGUGGGGAGCAAACAGG
rnacentral:rRNA from 1 species